rnacentral:rRNA from 1 species
AUUGAACGCUGGCGGCAGGCUUAACACAUGCAAGUCGAGCGGGGGAAGGUAGCUUGCUACCGGACCUAGCGGCGGACGGGUGAGUAAUGCUUAGGAAUCUGCCUAUUAGUGGGGGACAACAUCUCGAAAGGGAUGCUAAUACCGCAUACGUCCUACGGGAGAAAGCAGGGGAUCUUCGGACCUUGCGCUAAUAGAUGAGCCUAAGUCGGAUUAGCUAGUUGGUGGAGUAAAGGCCUACCAAGGCGACGAUCUGUAGCGGGUCUGAGAGGAUGAGCCGCCACACUGGGACUGAGACACGGCCCAGACUCCUACGGGAGGCAGCAGUGGGGAAUAUUGGACAAUGGGGGGAACCCUGAUCCAGCCAUGCCGCGUGUGUGAAGAAGGCCUUAUGGUUGUAAAGCACUUUAAGCGAGGAGGAGGCUACUUUAGUUAAUUCCUGGAGAUAGUGGACGUUACUCGCAGAAUAAGCACCGGCUAACUCUGUGCCAGCCGCCGCCGUAA